rnacentral:rRNA from 1 species
AUUGAACGCUGGCGGCAGGCCUAACACAUGCAAGUCGAGCGAGCGGCGGACGGGUGAGUAAUGUCUGGGAAACUGCCUGAUGGAGGGGGAUAACUACUGGAAACGGUAGCUAAUACCGCAUACCAUCAGAUGUGCCCAGAUGGGAUGAGCUAGUAGGUGGGGUAACGGCUCACCUAGGCGACGAUCCCUAGCGGGUCUGAGAGGAUGACCAGCAACACUGGAACUGAGACACGGUCCGAACUCCUACGGGAGGCAGAAGUGGGGAAUAUUGCACAAUGGGCGCAAGCCUGAUGCAGCCAGGCCGCGUGGGUGAAGAAGGCCUUCGGGUUUUAAACCACUUUCAGCGGGGAGGCGUUACCCGCAGAAGAAGCACCGGCUAACUCCGUGCCAGCAGCCGCGGUAAUUC